CGAUAGUGAACUAGUACCGUGAGGGAAAGGUGAAAAGUACCCCGGGAGGGGAGUGAAAUAGUACCUGAAACCGUAUACCUACAAGCAGUGGGAGCACUAUUUUUUAAGAUUUAUCUUAAGAAAGUGUGACCGCGUGCCUUUUGUAAAAUGAGCCGGCGAGUUACGAUACCUAGCGAGGUUAAGCAGCAUCUGCUGCGGAGCCGCAGCGAAAGCGAGUCUGAAUAGGGCGAUUUAGUUAGGUGGCGUAGACCCGAAACCGAGUGAUCUAACCAUGGCCAGGGUGAAACAGGUCUGAUCGCCUGUGGAGGCCCGAACCCACUUAUGUUGAAAAAUGAGGGGAUGAGCUGUGGUUAGGGGUGAAAGACCAAUCAAACUCGGAGAUAGCUGGUUCUCCUCGAAAUAGCUUUAGGGCUAGCCUCAAAUGUUUGCCUAUGGAGGUAGAGCACUGAAUGGACUAAGGGCCCCACCAGGUUACUGAACCCAAUCAAACUCCGAAUACCAUAGGUUUAUAGUUUGGGAGUCAGACUGCGGGGGAUAAGCUUCGUAGUCGAAAGGGAAACAGCCCAGACCAGCAGCUAAGGUCCCCAAGUGCAAGCUAAGUGUGAAAGGAAGUGGAAUUACAAAGACAGCCAGGAUGUUGGCUCAGAGGCAGCCAUCAUUUAAAAAGUGCGUAACAGCUUACUGGUCAAGUGAUUCUGCACCGAAAAUGUACGGGGCUAAAGUUUGCCACCGAAGCUCUGGAUCCAGAAUUUAUUCUGGGUGGUAGAGGAGCGUUCCUUUAUGGGAUGAAGGGUAACCGUAAGGAUGCCUGGACUAAAAGGAAGUGAGAAUGCCGGCAUUAGUAACGAUAAGGAGAGUGAGAAUCUCUCCCGCCGAAAACCUAAGGUUUCCUGGGGAAGGUAAAUCCGCCCAGGGUUAGUCGGAACCUAAGCCGAGGCCGAAAGGCGUAGGCGAUGGACAACCGGUCAACAUUCCGGUACUACCAGAUUAUCGCUUUAAGUGAUGGGGGGACGCAGGAAGGUAGGUCAGCACGAUAAAAGUUACGUGUCCAAGCCUGAUGUGGGAAGAGAUAGGAAAAUCCGUCUCUUAUUAAAACCCUAAGAGGUGAUAGGGAGCUACUAUGGUAGCGAACUGAUUGAUCCUACACUGCCAAGAAAAGCCUCUAAACAAGAUAAACUGGUAUCCGUACUAAAACCGACACAGGUAGGUAGGUAGAGAAUACCAAGGCGCUCGAGAUAACCCUCGUUAAGGAACUCGGCAAAAUGACUCCGUAACUUCGGGAGAAGGAGUGCCCCGGUAGGGUGACCCAAUUUACUUGGUUAGCCUGAAGGGGUUGCAAAGAAACGGCCCAAGCGACUGUUUACUAAAAACACAGGUCUCUGCUAAAUCGAAAGAUGAUGUAUAGGGACUGACGCCUGCCCGGUGCUGGAAGGUUAAGGAAGGGGGUUACUCCUCGUAAGAGGGGGAAGCUCUUGACCGAAGCCCCAGUAAACGGCGGCCGUAACUAUAACGGUCCUAAGGUAGCGAAAUUCCUUGUCGGGUAAGUUCCGACCCGCACGAAUGGCGUAACGAU
rnacentral:rRNA from 1 species